AUAAUCAAGUAACCAUUUUCAAGCAUCCCUGGACAUUGUGGGUUUGAUUCAUACUUGCGAUUAAUGUGUAUAUCUUGUGUUUGAUUUGUUGCAGUGCUUUGGAUAAACGGCUUCACAUUAUUCUUCGCUUGAGGCGACAUGUAGCUGAGUCUAAAACAAAAAGAAACUUAAAUUCAUCCAAUGUGGUUGACAUGGGCUUAUUGCAGAAAUUAUUCUUGUAAAAGAAGUUUUUGAUCAUCUAUAUAAAUAAUAGAAUACUACCCGUUUCAUAAUAUUAACUAUUAUAAGUAUCGGUACCCUUUUGAGAUCUUAAUAGAAUUUUCCCUGGUUUAGUUUAACUUUACCUUAGAUCCUUUUAAAAGCACGUGUCAUAAACUAUGGAGAUGAUUGGUAAGUGCCGUGACUUUUAUUUUUUGACUUUAAAAAUAGCUGUAGAUUUUAUUGUUUUAGUUGUAGAUUAAUUAUGUUCAGAGCACUAAAUAUAAAGCUCAAGAA
rnacentral:lncRNA from 1 species